AAGCAGGAUAAGUUACAAUUUAGCUGCAUAGUGCUAUAUUGUCGUUCCCCCUGCUAAAAUAAAUUUGUUUCCUUCUAUUCCUAUCUGUUCUGCUAAUACAGUUGGUAGGGACGCUUGGUCUCAAACAU